CGCCUCAUAGUUAAGUUGGAUAUAACGGGGCUUUCCUAAAGCUCUGUCACAGGUUCGAUUCCUGUUGAGGCGGCCA
rnacentral:tRNA from 4 species